UACGUAGGGUGCGAGCGUUGUCCGGAAUUACUGGGCGUAAAGAGCUCGUAGGUGGUUUGUCGCGUUGUUCGUGAAAACUCACAACUCAAUUGUGGGCGUGCGGGCGAUACGGGCAGACUGGAGUACUGCAGGGGAGACUGGAAUUCCUGGUGUAGCGGUGGAAUGCGCAGAUAUCAGGAGGAACACCGGUGGCGAAGGCGGGUCUCUGGGCAGUAACUGACGCUGAGGAGCGAAAGCGUGGGGAGCGAACAGGAUUAGAUACCCCCGUAGUCC
rnacentral:rRNA from 1 species